rnacentral:rRNA from 1 species
UAGCAAUACUGGGUGGCGACCGGCGGAUGGGUGCGUAACGCGUAUGCAACUACCAUUGAUUGGGGCAUAGCCCGAAGAAAUUUCGGGAUUAAUACUCCAUAAUAUUCAUCAAAGGCAUCUUUUUAUGAAUUAAAGCUUUUUGUGAUCAAUGAUGGGCAUGCGUGACAUUAGUUAGUUGGUGAGGUAACGGCUCACCAAAACGAUGAUGUCUAGGGGGUUCUGAGAGGAUUAUCCCCCCACACUGGUACUGAGACACGGACCCAGACUCCC